rnacentral:rRNA from 1 species
UACGUAGGGUGCAAGCGUUAUUCGGAAUUACUGGGCGUAAAGCGUGCGCAGGCGGUGAUGUAAGACAGAUGUGAAAUCCCCGGGCUCAACCUGGGACCUGCAUUUGAGACUGCAUCGCUAGAGUACGGUAGAGGGGGAUGGAAUUCCGCGUGUAGCAGUGAAAUGCGUAGAUAUGCGGAGGAACACCGAUGGCGAAGGCAAUCCCCUGGACCUGUACUGACGCUCAUGCACGAAAGCGUGGGGAGCAAACAGG